UACGGAGGGAGCUAGCGUUGUUCGGAAUUACUGGGCGUAAAGCGCGCGUAGGCGGCUUUGUAAGUUAGGGGUGAAAGCCCGGAGCUCAACUCCGGAAUUGCCUUUAAGACUGCAUCGCUAGAAUCAUGGAGAGGUGAGUGGAAUUCCGAGUGUAGAGGUGAAAUUCGUAGAUAUUCGGAAGAACACCAGUGGCGAAGGCGACUCACUGGACAUGUAUUGACGCUGAGGUGCGAAAGCGUGGGGAGCAAACAGG
rnacentral:rRNA from 1 species